rnacentral:rRNA from 1 species
GGUUAAGCGACUAAGCGUACACGGUGGAUGCCCUGGCAGUCAGAGGCGAUGAAGGACGUGCUAAUCUGCGAAAAGCGUCGGUAAGGUGAUAUGAACCGUUAUAACCGGCGAUGUCCGAAUGGGGAAACCCAGUGCAAUUCGUUGCACUAUCGUUAACUGAAUACAUAGGUUAACGAGGCGAACCGGGGGAACUGAAACAUCUAAGUACCCCGAGGAAAAGAAAUCAACCGAGAUUCCCCCAGUAGCGGCGAGCGAACGGGGAGCAGCCCAGAGUCUGAAUCAGCUUGUGUGUUAGUGGAACGGUCUGGAAAGUCCGACGGUACAGGGUGAUAGUCCCGUACACCAAAAUGCACAGGCUGUGAACUCGAAGAGUAGGGCGGGACACGUGGUAUCCUGUCUGAAUAUGGGGGGACCAUCCUCCAAGGCUAAAUACUCCUGACUGACCGAUAGUGAACCAGUACCGUGAGGGAAAGGCGAAAAGAACCCCGGCGAGGGGAGUGAAAAAGAACCUGAAACCGUGUACGUACAAGCAGUGGGAGCACCUUCGGGUGUGACUGCGUACCUUUUGUAUAAUGGGUCAGCGACUUAUAUUCUGUAGCAAGGUUAACCGUAUAGGGGAGCCGCAGGGAAACCGAGUCUUAACUGGGCGUUAAGUUGCAGGGUAUAGACCCGAAACCCGGUGAUCUAGCCAUGGGCAGGUUGAAGGUUGGGUAACACUAACUGGAGGACCGAACCGACUAAUGUUGAAAAAUUAGCGGAUGACUUGUGGCUGGGGGUGAAAGGCCAAUCAAACCGGGAGAUAGCUGGUUCUCCCCGAAAGCUAUUUAGGUAGCGCCUCGUGAAUUCAUCUUCGGGGGUAGAGCACUGUUUCGGCUAGGGGGUCAUCCCGACUUACCAACCCGAUGCAAACUACGAAUACCGAAGAAUGUUAUCACGGGAGACACACGGCGGGUGCUAACGUCCGUCGUGAAGAGGGAAACAACCCAGACCGCCAGCUAAGGUCCCAAAGUCAUGGUUAAGUGGGAAACGAUGUGGGAAGGCACAGACAGCCAGGAUGUUGGCUUAGAAGCAGCCAUCAUUUAAAGAAAGCGUAAUAGCUCACUGGUCGAGUCGGCCUGCGCGGAAGAUGUAACGGGGCUAAACCAUGCACCGAAGCUGCGGCAGCGACACUAUGUGUUGUUGGGUAGGGGAGCGUUCUGUAAGCCUGCGAAGGUGACCUGUGAGGGUUGCUGGAGGUAUCAGAAGUGCGAAUGCUGACAUAAGUAACGAUAAAGCGGGUGAAAAGCCCGCUCGCCGGAAGACCAAGGGUUCCUGUCCAACGUUAAUCGGGGCAGGGUGAGUCGACCCCUAAGGCGAGGCCGAAAGGCGUAGUCGAUGGGAAACAGGUUAAUAUUCCUGUACUUGGUGUUACUGCGAAGGGGGGACGGAGAAGGCUAUGUUAGCCGGGCGACGGUUGUCCCGGUUUAAGCAUGUAGGCUGAUUAUCCAGGCAAAUCCGGAUAAUCAAGGCUGAGGUGUGAUGACGAGGCACUACGGUGCUGAAGUAACAAAUGCCCUGCUUCCAGGAAAAGCCUCUAAGCAUCAGGUAACAUCAAAUCGUACCCCAAACCGACACAGGUGGUCAGGUAGAGAAUACCAAGGCGCUUGAGAGAACUCGGGUGAAGGAACUAGGCAAAAUGGUGCCGUAACUUCGGGAGAAGGCACGCUGGUGUGUAGGUGAAGUCCCUGCGGAUGGAGCUGAGACCAGUCGAAGAUACCAGCUGGCUGCAACUGUUUAUUAAAAACACAGCACUGUGCAAACACGAAAGUGGACGUAUACGGUGUGACGCCUGCCCGGUGCCGGAAGGUUAAUUGAUGGGGUUAUCCGUAAGGAGAAGCUCUUGAUCGAAGCCCCGGUAAACGGCGGCCGUAACUAUAACGGUCCUAAGGUAGCGAAAUUCCUUGUCGGGUAAGUUCCGACCUGCACGAAUGGCGUAAUGAUGGCCAGGCUGUCUCCACCCGAGACUCAGUGAAAUUGAACUCGCUGUGAAGAUGCAGUGUACCCGCGGCAAGACGGAAAGACCCCGUGAACCUUUACUAUAGCUUGACACUGAACAUUGAGCCUUGAUGUGUAGGAUAGGUGGGAGGCUUUGAAGCGUGGACGCCAGUCUGCGUGGAGCCAACCUUGAAAUACCACCCUUUAAUGUUUGAUGUUCUAACGUUGGCCCCUUACCGGGGUUGCGGACAGUGUCUGGUGGGUAGUUUGACUGGGGCGGUCUCCUCCCAAAGCGUAACGGAGGAGCACGAAGGUUAGCUAAUCCUGGUCGGACAUCAGGAGGUUAGUGCAAUGGCAUAAGCUAGCUUGACUGCGAGCGUGACGGCGCGAGCAGGUGCGAAAGCAGGUCAUAGUGAUCCGGUGGUUCUGAAUGGAAGGGCCAUCGCUCAACGGAUAAAAGGUACUCCGGGGAUAACAGGCUGAUACCGCCCAAGAGUUCAUAUCGACGGCGGUGUUUGGCACCUCGAUGUCGGCUCAUCACAUCCUGGGGCUGAAGUAGGUCCCAAGGGUAUGGCUGUUCGCCAUUUAAAGUGGUACGCGAGCUGGGUUUAGAACGUCGUGAGACAGUUCGGUCCCUAUCUGCCGUGGGCGCUGGAGAAUUGAGGGGGGCUGCUCCUAGUACGAGAGGACCGGAGUGGACGCAUCACUGGUGUUCGGGUUGUCAUGCCAAUGGCACUGCCCGGUAGCUAAAUGCGGAAGAGAUAAGUGCUGAAAGCAUCUAAGCACGAAACUUGCCCCGAGAUGAGUUCUCCCUGAGACUUUAAGUCUCCUGAAGGAACGUUAAAGACGAUGACGUUGAUAGGCCGGGUGUGUAAGCGCAGCGAUGCGUUGAGCUAACCGGUACUAAUGAACCGUGAGGCUUAACCUU